rnacentral:rRNA from 1 species
GACGAACGCUGGCGGCGUGCUUAACACAUGCAAGUCGAACGGAAAGGCCCUGCUUUUGUGGGGUGCUCGAGUGGCGAACGGGUGAGUAACACGUGAGUAACCUGCCCUUGACUUUGGGAUAACUUCAGGAAACUGGGGCUAAUACCGGAUAGGAGCUCCUGCUGCAUGGUGGGGGUUGGAAAGUUUCGGCGGUUGGGGAUGGACUCGUGGCUUAUCAGCUUGUUGGUGGGGUAGUGGCUUACCAAGGCUUUGACGGGUAGCCGGCCUGAGAGGGUGACCGGCCACAUUGGGACUGAGAUACGGCCCAGACUCCUACGGGAGGCAGCAGUGGGGAAUAUUGCACAAUGGGCGGAAGCCCGAUGCAGCAACGCCGCGUGCGGGAUGACGGCCUUCGGGUUGUAAACCGCUUUCGCCUGUGACGAAGCGUGAGUGACGGUAAUGGGUAAAGAAGCACCGGCUAACUACGUGCCAGCAGCCGCGGUGAUACGUAGGGUGCGAGCGUUGUCCGGAUUUAUUGGGCGUAAAGGGCUCGUAGGUGGUUGAUCGCGUCGGAAGUGUAAUCUUGGGGCUUAACCCUGAGCGUGCUUUCGAUACGGGUUGACUUGAGGAAGGUAGGGGAGAAUGGAAUUCCUGGUGGAGCGGUGGAAUGCGCAGAUAUCAGGAGGAACACCAGUGGCGAAGGCGGUUCUCUGGGCCUUUCCUGACGCUGAGGAGCGAAAGCGUGGGGAGCGAACAGGCUUAGAUACCCUGGUAGUCCACGCUGUAAACGGUGGGUACUAGGUGUGGGGUCCAUUCCACGGGUUCCGUGCCGUAGCUAACGCUUUAAGUACCCCGCCUGGGGAGUACGGCCGCAAGGCUAAAACUCAAAGGAAUUGACGGGGCCCCGCACAAGCGGCGGAGCAUGCGGAUUAAUUCGAUGCAACGCGUAGAACCUUACCUGGGUUUGACAUGGAUCGGGAGUGCUCAGAGAUGGGUGUGCCUCUUUUGGGGUCGGUUCACAGGUGGUGCAUGGCUGUCGUCAGCUCGUGUCGUGAGAUGUUGGGUUAAGUCCCGCAACGAGCGCAACCCUUGUUCACUGUUGCCAGCACGUUAUGGUGGGGACUCAGUGGAGACCGCCGGGGUCAACUCGGAGGAAGGUGGGGAUGACGUCAAGUCAUCAUGCCCCUUAUGUCCAGGGCUUCACGCAUGCUACAAUGGCUGGUACAGAGAGUGGCGAGCCUGUGAGGGUGAGCGAAUCUCGGAAAGCCGGUCUCAGUUCGGAUUGGGGUCUGCAACUCGACCUCAUGAAGUCGGAGUCGCUAGUAAUCGCAGAUCAGCAACGCUGCGGUGAAUACGUUCCCGGGGCU